GAAAUGGAAAACAAGAUGCUAGUCUCUGGUUGCAGGCCGCAAUCCUCCCAAAUGCUGAUACCUAUUUUGGGCCAUAUCGUAUUAAGAAAGUCCAUGUCUGCUCUGCUACCCUUAAAGCCACCUCCUACUUGCUACUGAAGUUGAGCUUGCUAAAAAGUUGGGCUAGCUUUAUUUAAAAACCAUAAGCUCCCCUAAAUUACAAGUAGCAAUGUUUAUUCAGAAUGCUUAAGCUGUGGUUUUAGGGUCUCUAAGGGACCUAGUAGAUCUGCUGUUACUAAAGUAUGACAAGAGAAAUCUGAGUGCUCAAUUGUGAGCAGAAGUUGGGCUUCUAGAGACCAGGAAAUAUGCAAGGUCUAGAAACUUUAUACUCUGGGAGCAUCUGAGUGGGUGAAGUGAGGGAUUUGGAAUUGACACCUGGCUGCCUCUGUGUCUGCAUAGUUCAAAGUUAGAAAAAAAAAGAAUCCACAAUAAAUACAUUGGGAGGACAACUGUUGGAUCUGGACCGGGCCCGUCCCCUUUUCCUAUGUAAUGCUAACAGGCUGUCCAUCUGGAUGAGGGCCCAGAAAAUGUGAGCUGGCAAAGGGUGUAGAGCAUAGUGUUUAGGUGCCAAGAAAGACUGAACUUUUAGUAUGUGACUGUAAUGAAAAGCUUAUGAAUAUGUCAGAGGAAUGAAUGAGUGGUUUUAUGAGGCCUUAACCCAAUAGCAUAGUUUCUUCCUUGUUUUUUAUCCUUUUCAGAAUGCUGGGACAGUGUAUGCAGGGCUCUCCACUGAUCUCCCUCAGUGUUCUUUCUCUGGUCCUGAUGCCAGAUAUCCUUUCUUGGAGACUGAGUCUGCUAUCUCAGUUGAUUGUUACACCAUACCCUCCCUUGGUGUUUUCUACUUCUGUGCCUUCAGGUGGUGUCACCAGCUUUUGUUUUCUUCACUGUCCACCCUUCACUGUUGGCCACAGUCUGGAUCUGCACGUUCUGUUCAAAAGCAGACUCUGGAACUGCCUGAAUGUGGUCUGGGACAGGAACCACAUCAUAUUGAUAAGUGAGACAAAAAAGAACAUUUCUUCCUUCCCAACCUUGAGGUGAAAUGGUGCAUGAAGACUUCUCAUGGCAUCUCACUGGGAAAAGAAAACAAAACCCCAAAGCCAGUUGUAGGUAUAAAUGAGAGGGCAAAUGUUGGAUCUGGGCUGGUCCCUUGUCACAUAGUUAGGUCCCUGGCUAUAUGUCCCCAGAGCACCCUACACUUAUCUUUCAGAAUAAUCUAUUCCCUUGUAAUUGCUCAGUACCUGUGUCCUGCAUGACUGUAAACUUGCUGGAGGUAAGGACUGUGUGUCUUGGACUGUACUGCCAGCCCUAGCACAGUACCUGGUACAUAGUACAUUCUCAAAUAUUUGUUAGAAUGAAUGAACUAAAUAAGUCUUUCCUUUUACAGAUUGUUAACUACUAUGGGAAAAUAAACGCAGGGAGGGAAAAAAUUCUAAAAUUAGUUUCUACUCUGCUUCUGACUCCCUCUGAGCUAAGAACAUUAAAAUGGGAGCCCUACAAGCCGGUCGUCCUUCCAAGCUGGCCACACCUCCACUCCACAGUGGUCUCUCUUCACAGUCUGAAGACCCAAGGUACAGCCAGGAGUUAAACUUCCAGAGUAGGUGGUACAGCCAGGAGUGAAACUUCCAGGGUAGGUGCCCGCAGUUCCCUUUAGCCUCUGCUCUGCUCCUGUAUCAACAAGUUUGGGCCAUUUCUUUAGAUAUGAAUUUUCCCAAGAAAUUCUUCCCCUUCGUGGUAUGUGUCAUAUCGCUGGUAAAACUUUCAGUGAAAUAACUUUUUAUUCUUAAUGAGCUGAUUGAAAAGCUUCUCCAUCUCUGACUCUCAUUUUUCAUGUGAAGUCAGCAAACUGAAUUCCUACAGCCUGGGCUCCAAGAAGGUGGGUUUUUUGGUCUGUUUCGUAUGCUGCCAAUACCUCCAGCGCCUAGAAGCAUACAUAGCACACAGCUGUUCGGAGUGAAAACACUCAUGCCCUUCACGCCCUAUUUAGCGAUGACGAACCUUGGCCAGGACAUUUGUCCACCCACUUCUCGGAAUUCAGCCUUUCGGAUUCAGGGCUUAGGCAGGUCAAAGUGAAAACCAGCCGUGCAGCACCACCUACAAGUGAAGAUCUGUGAAGCACGUCGCUAAUCUUGAGAGGUUUCGUUUGGAGAGGAAAGUGAACUUCUCCAGAAACAAAUCAAACGGUGUUCCGGCGCCGCGUGCUCUGCUUCUGCCCUCCGGGUCAGGUGGGACUCUGGACUUAAUAAUACACAAGGUGGGGAAGCGGCGGAGCGCUGGGACACGCAACGGACGACCAGCUUCACCCGCCCGCUUUCUUCCACUCCUCCCCCUUCCGUUCCUACGCUGACGGGUGGGGCCAACGCCUCUCUGGCCGGAAAGGGCUGGGCCUCAGGCGCCCACACUUCCGGCCGGCUGGUUCUAACGCGAGGCGCGGGAGCCGACUGGGUGACGUCACGGAAGGGGGCGGAACUGGGGUUGUGUUGGGCAUGCGCAGUAGGCUGACUUCGCCGACUCUGCCCGCUAGGCAGUGAAGGACUUACCCAUGCUGAGAGGAUUUUCCACUGUUGUUGCUGCUGAGGGUUCGGGCCUCACGGUCUUCCUGCCAAGGGGCAGGAAACUGGAAGGAGUUCCUGAGCCCGCGAGCCUGCAGCGGAAGUAGAAGAACGCCCUUCUUCAAGUGUCUGGAGGUCAGAGAAGCAGCCCAGGGGAGGGAACUGUGACUAGUUAAAGAGGCCCUGCUUACUGUUGCUACCAGAUCGCAUGUCAACACCAAGUCCUCAGCUCCUGGUGGCAGCUGCUCAGCAGACCCUGGGCCUGGGAAAGAGACGGGGCCCUCCCAGAGCCGUCUGCCUUCAUCUCGCUGGAGAGGUGCUGGCUGUGGCCAGGGGACUGAAGCCAGCUCUGCUGUAUGAUUGCGGCUCUGCAGGGGCAGCCGAGCUCCAGAGCUACCUGGAGGAGCUGCGGGGCCUGGGCUUCCCGACCCAGGGACUGCACGUCCUCGAGAUUGCAGAGAACAGCCUGAUUGUCCAUCCCGAGCAUGUGCGUCGGCACUUGGAGCAGGUGCUGCUUGGGAGCAUAGCGUUUGUGGAUGUUUCUGGCUCUCAACCUUACCCUUCCGUCUGCUCCCUGGACCAGCUGCAGGAUUUGAAGGCCUUUGUGGCGGAGAUCAUCACAUAUUUGCAGGGGCUGCAGAGGGACCGAUCCCUGUCAAUCUCCUGCGGCAGGCUGUGUUCCUCAGCCUGGAAUCUCUGUACUGUGUUUGGGAUCCUCCUGGGCUAUCCUGUCCCCUAUACUUUUGAUGUGAACCAAGGAGAGGACAACUGUUUAGCCCAGACUCCACUACGAGUGUUCACUGCCCGGAUCUCAUGGCUAUGCUGUCAGCCACCAGUCUUGCUGUAUUCCUUUAGUGUGCCAGAGAGCCUGUUCCUGUCCUUGAGGGACAUUCUAAAUACUUGGGAGAAGGACCUUAGAACUCGAUGUAGGGCUCAAAAUGACUUUGCUGACCUCAGCAUCUCCUCUGAGAUAGUCACACUGCCGGCCGUGGCUCUCUGACUUUAACUUUUCCUGUGUGGAAGGUGCUUGGUAAAUGAUCAGCUCUAGGUCAGGGAUGGCAAAUAGGAAUCAUUUCAAGUGCCAAUUGCGAGUAUCUCGAGGACACUAGGGAAGAAUACUGUAAUCCAUUUGUCAUUUCUGUGCUGAACUGGACUAGGGAGAAUAGACCAGGAUGCUUCAGGAAUAAACAGAGUUCUUCGGGACAGAUCAUCAGGAAGGGGAAAUUUGGACACAGAUGUGGACAGAUGGAAGACACGUGAAGAGAUGGAGAAGACAGCCAUCUCCAUCUUCUCGGACGGAGAAGAAGGCCAUUUCCCUCUCCAAGCCAAGGAAAGCAGUCUAGAAUGGAUUCUUCCCCCAGAGCCCUCAGAAGGAACCAACCCUGCCUGCCACCUUAAUCUGAGGCUCCCAGCCUCUAGAGCUAUGAGAAAACCGAUGUCUGUUCUUUAAGUCACCCAGCUUGUGGUGCUUUGUUACGAAAACACCAUCCUUCUAUCUCUUCCUACCGUGUACCUUUAAGUCUGCGUAAAUGUCACCCUAGAAGAAGGACAUUCCCAGUUGACCCUGUGUGAAAUAGCAACUGUUUUCUCUUUAACCUGCUGUAUUUUUUCCUCUGUCACAGUUGUUAAUACUUGAGGCGUAUAUGUUCAUAGAAACUCCAUACUUCAGUAUAGUGUCUGUUUAGAAUGUCAGCUUCACUAGGAAGGAAACCAGGCCAGUUCUGUUCACUGCCGUAUCCUCAGUGUGUAUCUUGGUGCCUGCACUUGGUAGGGGCUCAGUAAAUAAGUACCGAAUAAAUAAAGGCAUGGUUUUGAAGUGA